rnacentral:tRNA from 1 species
GGAGGUAGCUCAGUGGUACAGCUCUUAACUAACAUGCAUGAGUCCUGGGUUUGAUUCCUCAGUACCACCA